ensembl:misc_RNA Y_RNA Y RNA
GGCUGGUCUGAGGGCAGUAGUAUUUACAAUUAAUUGAUCACAACCAGUUACAGAUUUCUUUGUUCCUUCUCCACUCCCGCUGCUUCACUUGACUAGCCUAAA